rnacentral:rRNA from 1 species
GACGAACGCUGGCGGCGUGCUUAACACAUGCCAGUCGAACGGAAAGGCCUCUUUCGGGGGGUACUCGAGUGGCGAACGGGUGAGUAACACGUGAGUAACCUGCCCUUGACUUUGGGAUAACUUCAGGAAACUGGGGCUAAUACCGGAUAGGAGCUCCUGUUGCAUGGUGGGGGUUGGAAAGUUUCGGCGGUUGGGGAUGGACUCGCGGCCUAUCAGCUUGUUGGUGGGGUAGUGGCUUACCAAGGCUUUGUCGGGUAGACGGCCUGAGAGGGUGACCGGCCACAGUGGGACUGAGAGACGGCCCAGACUCCUACGGGAGGCAACAGGGGGGAAUAUUGCACAAUGGGUGGAAGCCUGAUGCAGCAACGCCGUGUGCGGGAUGACGGCCUUCGGGUUGUAAACCGCUUUCGCUCAUGACGAAGCUUUGUGUGACGGUAGUGGGUAAAGAAGCACCGGCUAACUACGUG